rnacentral:lncRNA from 1 species
GGCAGCCAGCUCCCCGCAGGUACCCGGGGAAAGGAGAGUGGAGGGCAAGGCAAGCGUCAGGUAGUUAACACCCCCAACAGGCUUUCCAGGGACAGACAGGCAGUAACACAGUGACAGGGGAGAGGUGUGGAUGCUCCAGUCACUUUCCAUCAGCACAGGAUAUCGCUUUCGAUCUUCCUCAUUCCUGUCGUGAUCCUUGUACCAAAAUGUCUUUUCUGCAACUUCAGAGCGUUGUGUAAUUUCUAAUUCAUAUCAGAGGCUGUCUUGAGGUUGGCCGCCCUGAGUUGCGUUUGUAAAGACUCCUUUCCCAGUGAAAGAAUGUGCGUUUUCCCAGCUUUGUCAACGUGGGAUGGAUACAGGUAUCUGGGUCACUUGCUUGCGCCAGUGGCCUAGGUGGGGAGGACAUUAAUAAACCCUGGCCUCAAAUGCAAAUCUUACCCAAGAAAAAUAAGAAUGGCCAUGAGAAUGAAAAAAGAUAGCCGCCUCCUCUCGCUCAUCCGCCGCUCGGUCUACAUCAGGUUCACGGAUCGUCUCCCCAACAGUGUUUUUGUUCUUUCUUCUCGUCCCCAGGUCGGAAGAUAUAAUUUACAGCCUCCAGAAGUCUCGCCGAGCCUGAUUGGAUGGUGUCCAGCUUUGCCGGAAUCAGGGAGGACACCACGGGUUAGCCCAAGAUGAAGACAAGACGGAGAGGCGGCUGGGCCCCAGGCGGGUGUGACAGCCCACGGGGGGACAGGAUGCAACCGUGACCGCCUACAUGCAGGACCCAUCAGCCCCGAGAGCCCUGAAACUCCCCAAGGGAGCGGAGUGCCAAAGGCCCCCAAACUGACCAAAGUCACCGGCCCUGGUCCUGCAUCCGGUGGGGACUUCCGGCGUCUUCCUCGCAGCCUC